rnacentral:tRNA from 1 species
AUUUAUAUAGUUUAAUUUAAAACAAUUUAUUUUCAUUAAAAAUAUAGUAUAAUAAUACUUAUAAAUU